rnacentral:rRNA from 1 species
UACGGAGGGUGCAGGCGUUAUCCGGAUUCACUGGGGUUAAAGGGUGCGUAGGUGGGCAGGUAAGUCAGUGGUGAAAUCUCCGGGCUUAACCCGGAAACUGCCGUUGAUACUAUUUGUCUUGAAUAUUGUGGAGGUAAGCGGAAUAUGUCAUGUAGCGGUGAAAUGCUUAGAUAUGACAUAGAACACCAAUUGCGAAGGCAGCUUACUACACAACGAUUGACGCUGAGGCACGAAAGCGUGGGGAUCAAACAGG